rnacentral:rRNA from 1 species
AACGAACGCUGGCGGCAGGCUUAACACAUGCAAGUCGAGCGCCCCGCAAGGGGAGCGGCAGACGGGUGAGUAACGCGUGGGAAUCUACCCAUCCCUACGGAAUAGCUCCGGGAAACUGGAAUUAAUACCAUAUACGCCCUACGGGGGAAAGAUCUAUCGGAAUUGGAUGAGCCCGCGUUGGAUUAGCUAGUUGGUGAGGUAACGGCUCACCAAGGCGACGAUCCAUAGCUGGUCUGAGAGGAUGAUCAGCCACACUGGGACUGAGACACGGCCCAGACUCCUACGGGAGGCAGCAGUGGGGAAUAUUGGACAAUGGGCGCAAGCCUGAUCCAGCCAUGCCGCGUGAGUGAUGAAGGCCUUAGGGUUGUAAAGCUCUUUCAGUGGGGACGAUAAUGACGGUACCCACAGAAGAAGCCCCGGCUAACUUCGUGCCAGCCGCCGCCGUAA